UUAAUUGAAGAGUUUGAUCAUGGCUCAGAUUGAACGCUGGCGGCAGGCCUAACACAUGCAAGUCGAGCGGAAACGGCAGUAUUGAAGCUUCGGUGGAUUUACUGGACGUCGAGCGGCGGACGGGUGAGUAACGGCUGGGAACCUGCCCUGACGAGGGGGAUAACCGUUGGAAACGACGGCUAAUACCGCAUAAUGUCUUGAUUCGUUAGAGUCAGGACCAAAGRUGGCCUCUACAUGUAAGCUAUCGCGUUGGGAUGGGCCCAGUUAGGAUUAGCUAGUUGGUAAGGUAAUGGCUUACCAAGGCAACGAUCCUUAGCUGGUUUGAGAGGAUGAUCAGCCACACUGGGACUGAGACACGGCCCAGACUCCUACGGGAGGCAGCAGUGGGGAAUAUUGCACAAUGGGGGAGACCCUGAUGCAGCCAUGCCGCGUGUGUGAAGAAGGCCUUCGGGUUGUAAAGCACUUUCAGCAGUGAGGAAGGUYGUGUACUUAAUACGUGCACGGCUUGACGUUAGCUGCAGAAGAAGCACCGGCUAACUCCGUGCCAGCAGCCGCGGUAAUACGGAGGGUGCGAGCGUUAAUCGGAAUUACUGGGCGUAAAGCGCAUGCAGGCGGUUUGUUAAGUCAGAUGUGAAAGCCCGGGGCUCAACCUCGGAACCGCAUUUGAAACUGGCAGGCUAGAGUCUUGUAGAGGGGGGUAGAAUUUCAGGUGUAGCGGUGAAAUGCGUAGAGAUCUGAAGGAAUACCAGUGGCGAAGGCGGCCCCCUGGACAAAGACUGACGCUCAGAUGCGAAAGCGUGGGUAGCAAACAGGAUUAGAUACCCUGGUAGUCCACGCCGUAAACGCUGUCUACUUGGAGGUUGAGGUUUUAGACUUUGGCUUUCGGCGCUAACGCAUUAAGUAGACCGCCUGGGGAGUACGGCCGCAAGGUUAAAACUCAAAUGAAUUGACGGGGGCCCGCACAAGCGGUGGAGCAUGUGGUUUAAUUCGAUGCAACGCGAAGAACCUUACCUACUCUUGACAUCCAGCGAAGCCUUUAGAGAUAGAGGYGUGCCUUCGGGAGCGCUGAGACAGGUGCUGCAUGGCUGUCGUCAGCUCGUGUUGUGAAAUGUUGGGUUAAGUCCCGCAACGAGCGCAACCCUUAUCCUUGUUUGCCAGCACRUAAUGGUGGGAACUCCAGGGAGACUGCCGGUGAUAAACCGGAGGAAGGUGGGGACGACGUCAAGUCAUCAUGGCCCUUACGAGUAGGGCUACACACGUGCUACAAUGGCAGAUACAGAGGGCAGCGAGACAGCGAUGUUUAGCGAAUCCCUUAAAGUUUGUCGUAGUCCGGAUUGGAGUCUGCAACUCGACUCCAUGAAGUCGGAAUCGCUAGUAAUCGUGGAUCAGAAUGCCACGGUGAAUACGUUCCCGGGCCUUGUACACACCGCCCGUCACACCAUGGGAGUGGGCUGCACCAGAAGUAGAUAGCUUAACCUUCGGGAGGGCGUUUACCACGGUGUGGUUCAUGACUGGGGUGAAGUCGUAACAAGGUAGCCCUAGGGGAACCUGGGGCUGGAUCACCUCCUUA
rnacentral:rRNA from 1 species